GGGCGUAAGAGCUCGUAGGUCGUUUGUCGCGUCGAUUGUGAAAAUCUGAGGCUCAACCUCAGACCUGCAGUCGAUACGGGCAAACUAGAGUGUGGUAGGGGAGACUGGAAUUCCUGGUGUAGCGGUGGAAUGCGCAGAUAUCAGGAGGAGCACCAAUGGCGAAGGCAGGUCUCUGGGCCAUAACUGACACUGAGGAGCGAAAGUGCGGGGAGCGAACAGGAUUAGAUACCCUGGUAGUCCGCACCGUAAACGGUGGGCACUAGUUGUGGGAACCUUCCACGGUUUCCGCGACGCAGCAAACGCAUUAAGUGCCCCGCCUGGGGAGUACGAUCGCAAGAUUAAAACUCAAAGGAAUUGACGGGGCCCCGCACAAGCAGCGGAGCAUGCGGCUUAAUUCGACGCAACGCGAAGAACCUUACCAAGGCUUGACAUAUAGCGAAAAGUGGCAGAGAUGUCAUGUCCGCAAGGGCGCUAUACAGGUGGUGCAUGGUUGUCGUCAGCUCGUGUCGUGAGAUGUUGGGUUAAGUCCCGCAACGAGCGCAACCCUCGUUCUGUGUUACCAGCAUUCAGUUGGGGACUCACAGGAGACUGCCGGGGUCAACUCGGAGGAAGGUAAU
rnacentral:rRNA from 1 species